CGGGUGAGUAACGCGUGAGGAACCUGCCUCAAAGAGGGGGACAACAGUUGGAAACGACUGCUAAUACCGCAUAAGCCCACGGCUCGGCAUCGAGCAGAGGGAAAAGGAGUGAUCCGCUUUGAGAUGGCCUCGCGUCCGAUUAGCUAGUUGGUGAGGUAACGGCCCACCAAGGCAACGAUCGGUAGCCGGACUGAGAGGCUGAACGGCCACAUUGGGACUGAGACACGGCCCAG
rnacentral:rRNA from 1 species